rnacentral:rRNA from 1 species
GCGACUCCUGGGGCAGGAGGCGCGGGAGGCAAGGUGGUGCAAAGGUGGGUCGGAAGUACGGGGCGUAAAGCGCGCGUAGGCGGGCGGGCAAGUCGUGCGUGAAAUCCCAUGGCUCAACCAUGGAAGGGCACUCGAAACUGCACAGCGGGAGUCUCGGAGAGGAAGGCGGAAUGCUUGGUGUAGAGGUGAAAUUCGUAGAUAUCAAGCGGAACACCGGUGGCGAAGGCGGCCUUCUGGACGAUGACUGACGCUGAAGCGCGAAAGCGUGGGGAGCAAACAGGAUUAGAUACCCCAGUAGUC